CUCGGGGCGGGGGAGAUGAGUGAGGGCCGGGCCCAGGGCGGCCUCGGGCCGGAGGCGAUGAGUGAGGGCCGGGCCCGGGGCGGGCGAUGGCCGGAGCCGAUGGCUGAGGGCCGGGGCGGCCUCGGGCCGGAGGCGAUGGGUGAGGGCCGGGCCCGGGGCGGGCGAUGGCCGGAGCCGAUGGCUGAGGGCCGGGGCGGCCUCGGGCCGGGGGCGAUGGUUCUCUCCAGCCAUGCCCCUGGGCAUAAGGGAGGAGGUGCCUUCUUUCAAGACUGGGUCAACCCGCCACGAUGGUAAAGAACCCAGCAAUUAACAGCCAUGUAAAAUGGAAAAAUGGGAGAGCAAUUUGCAAAGUUAAAUGCUGGGUUACUCUAAAAGAGAAACAAAAUUAAACUUUCUCUGCAGUCGAGAAGAAACUCUCCCAAUGAAAGAAACCUCGUCUUCACUUGAGGAGCUGGGUUUUGGAGGAGCUUACUCAUAAUGGUACUUACACAGUCUCUGAUAGACCGGAUUAUUAAUUUACUAAGCUUGGUUUCAGGUUUUGCCUGCUGGGCUGGCCAUGUAGUCUGGUACAAGUUACUGUUCUUGAGGACCAGUUCAUGUAAGUUUGAUACUUGAUUAGUGCAAUAGUGUCCGUGUCUCAUUUAAUUGUAUUAUUAAUUGUGGCCUCUCAGGUUUCUGCAUCGGCAGCACUCAUGAAUUCUGCCAUCUGACUCUGCUCUGUGUACACUGCAGGAUUAAGCAUUUUGCUGCCAGCUCUGUAUGGUUUCUUAUGUAAAACCCUGGAAGUGAUUGUCCACUGAGGAGGAACUGCACACAAAGCUCUGGGACCUGACCUGUCACACCACAACCCGUAAGGAAUCAGAUGCAAUAUUCUUACAAGCAGGUCGUGUAGAGCAGAAACUUUUUUUGUGUGUGUGGUUCCUUAAAGUGACUGAAGGACUGCUUUGCUCUCAAAGUAGGACAGAAGAGAUGUGUUCAGAAGAAGGCAGACACUUUGUAUGGGGAAAUUUUCUUUUUUAAUUUACAGCAGAAAGAAUAUAAAGCAUUCAGAAAACAUUUUCCAUAUUUUAAGGGCAAUUCAAAACAUUUUGCAUGGUUCCAGCAGCUGAGUUCUUCAACAGAUCCAUUGAUUCAGUGAUGCUUUACAUGCACAGUUACAAAAAUAAAACUUACAAAAGAGAAGACAUCUAUACUAGUUUUACAUGCAAGUCUUGGGGA